ACAGGAAAUGGAAUGAAAAGAAAAUCAAUAUACUAACACGAGAAUGGUUGCACGAACAGAAGCAGAGAUAGCAGGAUAUGAUUGAGGAAGCAUCACGGCCGCAUUCUCAGAAAUGCAAUAUUUUCAUCAAAGGCUCAUGGCCCCCCGGAUCAGAGGAGAGUACAGGGAGAGGGAUGAAUUGAGUGAGGGGCGGGUGUGACGAGUAGCACCAGGAUCCAACAGCAGCUUCCCAAUCUUCACAGCCCUUUUCCCAGCCAGUAUGCGGCUCAGCGCGAAGCCAGGCGGUCGUGUGGUACUCACCGCUCCGGAACGAAGUGCUACUGGUGAAGUGAUCAUCUUAUAUUCGUCACGCCUUUGACUCACACUCAUGUGAUCGAGUCACGACGAAUCAAAGAAACAAGUUAUCCGAAUCUCGUCUCUCGAAUGAGACGAAGCCUCGUCUCACUCACGCUCGAAUGUCUGUCAUCCUUACGUCUAUUAGUCAUCUGGGAAGUGACGGGUCCAUGGAGUCAUGUCACGGAACUUAAAAAUUAAAGACUUCAUAAAAGUGCACUUUGCAUGAAUUUUAAAGAGAUAACGAGAGCAAGGUGUCAGCCGGCCUUCCUUCAUUAACAAUCAGCACACUCAAGAUUCACAUAGGCCUCAGAGUCCGCCGGGAAUAAGUGAAAGUCUGUGCCCAGUCUCUACCAGCUGUCUCACCUCCCACGUUCUCCUGGGCUCCUUCGUGGCCGCCUUCUCCGUCACCUUCAUCAUCUACGUCGUUUUCUUCACCUAUUCCUUCAUCGCUAACAUGGAUCUUCUCACUCAAGUGUACUUCAGUAUAGACCCGGCUGAGAGGAAUCACUUUUAUCAGCAGAAAAUAUCAAAGGGAUUGACAAUAUUGAAGUAGAUGAAGAAUCCAGGAUUAAGAAGAAAGUUAUUGUGUGUGUGACUUGUAUCUUCAAAAUGUUUGCAUAAUAAAUUAAUAUUCAGUUACCUACAUAUGUAUCCUAGAAACCAAACCCAUAUGCAUUAUAUACCUUCAAAAUUGACUGGGCUAAUAUGAACUCUUAUGCCUUUCCAUCUUUACCUGUCAUUGGCAGGACGUUAAAAUGCUUUAGAAAGAAAGGGCAACGUCACUAACAAUCCUCCCGUUUUGGGUAACCCAGGUUUGGUUUAUGACAGCAAUCCAAUUACUGGCGGCAACCCCAUUUAUUCUCCCACUAUAAUUAUUGACGCUCCUUCUUAGUCCUUCCACAAGACCCAUCUUACAUACAUCCACGGAUCCCAAAGUUAAUAUUAACAGCCAUGAUGCCUUUUCGCCUUUCGCCAGAAGUUGUCAGAUUUCUACUUCGGUCAGUAUGGGUUACAUAUCAAAAGGUGGAUAUCUGUUUGUAUCCGUAGGAAAGUUGAUCUAGUUCAACCAUCUCUAAGUUUUUUUU